ACGAACAACAUGUCAUUCGGAUG
rnacentral:siRNA from 1 species